rnacentral:lncRNA from 1 species
UUUUUCUUUUCUUUUUUCUUUUUUUUCAUAUUAAGCAACUAUCUAUAACUUGUUUGGCCAGGGUGUAAAUUCCUAUACACCCAUAAACCUGGAGAACUGCAUCACACAGUGCUUGGGGUCCACAGUGGAUUCCCUGAUGUAAUUGAGACAGGACCUCCCUCAUGAGAGGUUUUAAUAACACUUCCCUUUGAACUGGUAAUAUUCAUUUCCCUUCCAUGUUUUCUUUAGCUUCUAUUUUUAUUAACCUCAUCUUUUGAAUGGAGGAAAAAAUGGGAGUUGCAGUAGGAAAAGGAAGGCAUGGAAUUAAAUGAAAAAAAAGACAUUUCAGAAGAAACGGCAACUUGUUUUGCUAUCUGAUCUGCAAGAUUAUUUCCCCUAGUUAUGAAAGACAAGUCCCUUUGGUGCCCUGGGACAUGCACAAUAGCUAUCUCUUCUGGCAAUUGGAGAUUGUUGAGGGCACGAGUAGUGAGCUCUCUACGAACUAAAUCUUGGCCACUACUAUCGAUAAGACUCCAUCCAAAUUUUCCCAAAUGUGUGUGCCACCCCAAAGGCAUACUUAGAGUCAGUAUAGAUAAUUCUUUCUUGGUUUUGUAAAUAUCCCCAGCUUCUGCCAUCACUCCGGGCUGCGGUUUCAGGUCACUCCCCAGCCACUUCAGGUUACACCCCAGCCUGUGCCAUCACUCAGGCUGCAGUUUCAGGUUAUCCCCUAGCCACUUCAGUUCUUGCCCCAGUCUGUGUCAUCACUCUGGCUGUAGUUUCAGGUUAUUUCCCAGCUAUUUCAGGCAGUGCCAUAGCCUGCUCUUUUCCUCCACCUGCUGCUGUGGGUCCUUCGUGUGCUUGUUACACUUCUGCUUAUAUUGCCACCCCAAUAUGGACUCUGCAGAAUUACCAUCUUGUGAACUUGCCCACUCCCAACCUGUUAAGUAUCCCUCUGUAAUGGGGUUUCAAUGUGAAAUAGAACAAUGUAAAAUAAGACAUUCAAAACUUUUCAUUUCCCUCCACACCCAAAGAGCCAGAUGCAACUUUCUUUCCUUUAAGAGAGUUACUACAAGGCGGAGACUAUUGGCUUUUUAAACACUCCCUUGACUAGUUCAGAGUUCUGAAAUUUAAAAAAAGGAGCUUAAGCCAUCAUUGGAAGACUCUUAUGGAGUAGAGAAACAAAUUGAUGAAUAUUUAGGACCUCAGAUAUACACUUGGGACAAGUUGAUGUACGUCUUGGGCAUCCUCUUUUCAGGGGAGGAACGAAGUAUGAUUCAGAAGUUUACUAUAGUGUUUUGGGAACAUGAGCAUGCUCCGGGCCAAAAUAUUCCUCCUGCAGAUCGUACAUUUCCUGACCACGACUCUCAGUGGGGCAAUAACAAUGCAAAUCACCGGUAAAACAUGCAGGAUCUAAGGGAGAUUAUAAAAGGAAUUCGGGAAUCAGUAACCCGAAC